AAUAAAGUGCCCGAAGUUCUAGGGGUUGCCUUGAUACGGCAACUAUGCUACAAGCCUUUAUUA
rnacentral:tRNA from 1 species